CAGAGCAGAGCGCAGAAACUGCCCGCGGCAGAGGCUCUCAACUCGGCUCCCACCCCCUCGCUGACAGUCGGGCAGGUGGCCCAGGACCGCCGCCAGGUGCCAGGCGUUCCGAGCCGGGCGGAGGCUCCGGGAUAACCAAGAAGAAGGGGACCUCAUGCACUUUCUCCCCCACCUGCACCUUUCUAUAAGAGGAAAAGUGCUGCGGAGCACGGCGCGGAGCGGUGGGGCUGCGUGAUCCUGACUGAGCAUCACAGACACUUUGUUAGGAACUGUUGUUUGGACCCAAAGGAGCUCAGCAAGGAGAAAAUGAGGGGCAGGUUGAUGGAAGGAAAAUCCCUGGUGAAUUUUGAAGCAUUCAUUGGAACUACAUAAUUUGAUGUAUUCUGAAAGCAUGAGUCCUGGCAAAAAG
rnacentral:lncRNA from 1 species